UACGAAGGGGGCUAGCGUUGCUCGGAAUUACUGGGCGUAAAGGGUGCGUAGGCGGCGAGGCAAGUCUGGUGUGAAAUCCCGGGGCUCAACCCCGGAACUGCACUGGAUACUGCCUUGCUAGAGUACUGGAGAGGGAACUGGAAUUUACGGUGUAGCAGUGAAAUGCGUAGAUAUCGUAAGGAAGACCAGUGGCGAAGGCGAGUUCCUGGACAGUUACUGACGCUGAGGCACGAAGGCCAGGGGAGCAAACGGG
rnacentral:rRNA from 1 species